rnacentral:rRNA from 1 species
AUGUUACUUCUUCAAAGAGAAAAAACUAGUGGUAAGGGAACUAAUGCAUUUACUGAUGGUGGUUGGAGUAAUUGGAAUAGAGAGGAGGCUCUUCUUAAGCAUGUUGGUUGCGUAUCAAGUGUGCAUAAUGCAGCUCAAGAGAGAUAUAACUUAUUUGUGAAUCCUCGUGCAGCAAUUAAUGAUCUUUUUGUGAAGGUGAACAGUGAGGAUUUACGUCUUUACAAGAUGAGGUUGAAGUAUUCACUUAGAUGCUUGCAAUUUCUUCAUCAUCAAGGAUUGGCAUUUCAUGGGCAUGAUGAAAGUGAACAGUCUAGCAAUAGAGGAAACUUCCUUGAGAUACUGAAGUGGCUUGCGGCAAAUAGUGAGUAGGUGAAUAAGUAUGUUUUGAAGAAUGCACCAGGUAACUACCAAUUGACAUCUCAUCAAAUACAACAGCAGAUUAUUCAAUGUUGUGCACAACUUACUAGAAAGCAAAUUAUUGAUGAACUUGGUGAUGAGUACUAUGCUAUUCUAGCUGAUGAGUCUAGUGAUGUAUCACAUAAAGAACAACUAGCUUUAUGCUUGCGUUUUGUUGAUAAAGUAGGGAGGCCGUGUGAGCACUUUCUUGGAGUUGUUCAUGUAAGUGACACUACUUCAUUGUCACUUAAGGAAGCAAUUGAAACUUUACUUAUUGACCAUGGUUUGACUAUAACACAAAUUCGUGGGCAAGGAUAUGAUGGGGCUAGUAAUAUGAGAGGAGAAAUUAAAGGAUAGAAAACAUUGAUCAUGAAAGAGUCACCUUCUGCAUAUUAUAUUCAUCGUUUUGCACAUCAACUCCAGCUAGUUCUUGUUGAUGUUGUCAAGGGAAAUGAUGAUUGUGUGUGGUUUUUUGACCGAGUGUCUUUAUUACUGAAUGUUAUUGGAGUCUCUUGUAAGCGUCAUGACAUGCUUCAAGAUGCUAGACUUCAUAAUAUCAUGAAACUACUUGAAUGUGGUGAGUUACAAACUGGGAGUGGUUUGAAUCAAGAGAUGUGGUUACCUAGGCCUGGUGAUACUCGGUGGGGCUCUCAUUACAAAAUUGUUCUUAACAUUAUUGCUAUGUAUCCCACAAUCCGUGAUGUGCUCAUAACUCUUGGACAAGAUGCUUCACAAAGAAGUGAUUGACCCAAAAUUCAUACUAUUUUUGGAGUGUUCGAGCCAUUUGACUUUAUUUUCAAUGCACACUUGAUGCUUGUCAUUCUUGGAUACACAAGUGAUUUGUCUGAUUGUUUGCAAAGAAGAGACCAAGAUAUUCUUACUGCAAUGGCACUUGUUAGAACUGCAAAAAGUAGAAUACAAGAGCUUAGGGCUAAUGGGUGGGAUGCAUUUAUGCAAAAGGUCACACUAUUUUGUAACAAGCAUGGCAUUAAAGUUCCUAUAAUGGAAGAUAAUUAUGUGCCUUAUGGAAGAUCAACACGGUUUGCUCGACCCCAAACAAAUGAUGAUCACUUUCGAAGAGAAGUUUUUCUUGGAGUCAUUGAUCAAAUUAGUCAAGAGCUUGAAAAUCGGUUUGAUGAGAUCAAUAUGGAGCUGCUAUCUUGUAUGUCUGAUUUGAAUCCCGCCAACUCAUUUGCUGCUUUUGAUGCACAAAAGGUACGAAGACUUGCUGAGUUUUAUCCCAAAGACUUUUCAAGUGCCGACUUGAUACACCUUGAAUUACAACUUGAUAACUAUAUUGAUGACAUGAGAAAUGAUGAGAACUUUCAAGGCCUUUGA